UGGGGGAUCGUUCAAUGGCAGGACGGUUGACUCUGGAUCAACUAAUCGGGGUUCGAAUCCCUGUCCCCCAGUCA
rnacentral:tRNA from 1 species